AUUGAACGCUGGCGGCAUGCCUUGCACAUGCAAGUCGAACGGUAACAGGUCUUCGGAUGCUGACGAGUGGCGAACGGGUGAGUAAUACAUCGGAACGUGCCUAGUAGUGGGGGAUAACUACUCGAAAGAGUGGCUAAUACCGCAUGAGAUCUACGGAUGAAAGCAGGGGAUCGCAAGACCUUGUGCUACUAGAGCGGCCGAUGGCAGAUUAGGUAGUUGGUGGGAUAAAAGCUUACCAAGCCAACGAUCUGUAGCUGGUCUGAGAGGACGGUCAGCCACACUGGGACUGAGACACGGCCCAGACUCCUAAGGGAGGCAGCAGUGGGGAAUUUUGGACAAUGGGCGCAAGCCUGAUCCAGCAAUGCCGCGUGCAGGAUGAAGGCCUUCGGGUUGUAAACUGCUUUUGUACGGAACGAAAAGCCCCGGGUUAAUACCCUGGGGUCAUGACGGUACCGUAAGGAUAAGCACCGGCUAACUACGUGCCAGCCGCCGCCGUAA
rnacentral:rRNA from 1 species